rnacentral:lncRNA from 1 species
UCUAUUUGUGCUUAUCCAAUGUUGGUGCUAUCUUUUAGAGAUAAGGUGGGAUUCUUAUCUGAUAUGAUCAGAUGAUAUCACUCUACCAAUCAAAAUUUUUUCAAAAUUUAUUGGAAUUUUUUGAUUGGUUGAAUGAUGUGGCACUGCGCAGCAUACAGGGUCUAUAUAAACCCUACUGCGCCUAGGGUUUCAAGGUAGAAGUUAUUUUAUACACAAAACUCAAUAGCUGCCACCCCCUCUCUUCUUCUCUAUAUUCUCCCUACUCUCCUUCCUCCCCUCUUCACAUCCAAAGAGUUGGACAUCCAUCUGGCAAAGAUCCAAGGUGUGGUGACGCCUGGAACAGAAGGCUGCAGGACUUCUUCGACAGGCUGCUGCUCCAACUUCAGGAAGACUUUUGAAGAUCUUUCUAAUCAGAUUUAGAUCUGAUUUUUGGAGAAUAGAUU